rnacentral:rRNA from 1 species
CCUACGGGAGGCAGCAGUGGGGAAUCUUGCACAAUGGGGGAAACCCUGAUGCAGCGACGUCGCGUGAGUGAUGAAGUAUUUCGGUAUGUAAAGCUCUUUUAGCAGGGAAGAAAAUGACGGUACCUGACUAAGAAGCCCCGGCUAACUACGUGCCAGCAGCCGCGGUAAUACGUAGGGGGCAAGCGUUAUCCGGAUUUACUGGGUGUAAAGGGAGCGGAGACGGGGGUGCAAGCCAGAUGUGAAAGUCCGGGGCUCAACCCCGGGACUGCAUUUGAAACUGUGCUGCUAGAGUGUCGGAGAGGCAGGCGGAAUUCCUAGUGUAGCGGUGAAAUGCGUAGAUAUUAGGAGGAACACCAGUGGCGAAGGCGGCCUGCUGGACGAUGACUGACGUUGAGGCUCGAAAGCGUGGGGAGCAAACAGGAUUAGAUACCCGAGUAGUC